GACGAACGCUGGCGGCGUGCUUAACACAUGCAAGUCGAACGGAAAGGCCCUGCUCUUGCUGGGUGCUCGAGUGGCGAACGGGUGAGUAACACGUGAGUAUCCUGCCCCUGUCUUUGGGAUAACUCUAGGAAACUGGGGCUAAUACCGGAUAGGAGCUCCUGCUGCAUGUUGGGGGUUGGAAAGUUUCGGCGGUGUGGGCUGGACUCGCAGCUUACCAGAUGGUUUGUGUGGUAGUGGCUUACCAAGGCUUCGACGGCUAGCCGGCAUGAGAGGUUGGCCGGGCACCUGGGGCCUGAGAUACGCCCCAGUCUCGUACGGGAGGCAGUAGUCGAGAAUAUUGCAGAAUGGGCGGAAGCCUGAUGCAGCAGCGCCGCGUGCGGGAUGCUGGCCUUCGGGUUGUAAACCGCUUUGGCCUGUGACGAGGACUGCGUGACGGUAAUGGGUAAGGAAGCACCGGCUAACUACGUG
rnacentral:rRNA from 1 species